GGUAAAGGGCAGCGAGUAUGUAAAUUUUAUGAAAGCGGGUAUUGCAAGAAGGGGGCAUCAUGUAGUUAUUGGCACCCAUGAAAAUAUUAGAAUCCAGUUUCGACGCAAUUGUUGUGCAUUCAAUUAUGUAACCAUCAAUUGUAUUAGGACGUUUGGCCAUGUCAAUGGUCUAAUUUAACAUGUAAAAGUAUUAGAAAGUGGCGUAAUGCAUUUGUUCUUUGGAUAGUGCAGUUUAGGGCUGCAUGUUGCAGCAGUAAGCAGAUAUAAAUU
rnacentral:misc_RNA from 1 species